rnacentral:rRNA from 1 species
UACAGAGGUCCCGAGCGUUGUUCGGAUUCACUGGGCGUAAAGGGUGCGUAGGUGGCCGGGAAAGUUCGAUGUGAAAGCUCAGAGCUCAACUCUGAAAUGGCAUUGAAUACUAUCUGGCUUGAGGGUCGGAGGGGAGACUGGAAUUCUCGGUGUAGCAGUGAAAUGCGUAGAUAUCGAGAGGAACACCAGUGGCGAAGGCGAGUCUCUGGACGACUCCUGACACUGAGGCACCGAAGCUAGGGGAGCAAACAGG